GACGAACGCUGGCGGCGUGCUUAACACAUGCAAGUCGAACGGAAAGGCCCUGCUUUUGUGGGGUGCUCGAGUGGCGAACGGGUGAGUAACACGUGAGUAACCUGCCCUUGACUUUGGGAUAACUUCAGGAAACUGGGGCUAAUACCGGAUAGGAGCUCCUGCUGCAUGGUGGGGGUUGGAAAGUUUCGGCGGUUGGGGAUGGACUCGCGGCUUAUCAGCUUGUUGGUGGGGUAGUGGCUUACCAAGGCUUUGACGGGUAGCCGGCCUGAGGGGGUGACCGGCCACAUUGGGACUGAGAUACGGCCCAGACUCCUACGGGAGGCAGCAGUGGGGAAUAUUGCACAAUGGGCGGAAGCCUGAUGCAGCAACGCCGCGUGCGGGAUGACGGCCUUCGGGUUGUAAACCGCUUUCGCCUGUGACGAAGCGUGAGUGACGGUAAUGGAUAAAGAAGCACCGGCUAACUACGUG
rnacentral:rRNA from 1 species